rnacentral:rRNA from 1 species
CCCUUAGAUGUUCUGGGCCGCACGCGCGCUACACUGUUCGACGCAGCGAGUCUUAACCUUGACCGAAAGGUUUGGGUAAUCUUCAGCAAAGUCGAACGUGAUGGGGAUCGAUCAUUGCAAUUAUUGAUCGUGAACGAGGAAUUCCUAGUAAGUGCAAGUCAUCAGCUUGCGCUGAUUACGUCCCUGCCCUUUGUACACACCGCCCGUCGCUACUACCGAUUGAAUGGUUUAGUGAGAUCUCUGGAUUGACGCUGGCUAGGGGGCGACCCUUGGCCAGGCUGUCGAGAAACUGCUCUAACUUGAUCAUUUAGAGGAAGUAAAAGUCGUAACA